UAGCGGCAGGCUUAAUACAUGCAAGUCGUGGGGCAGCAUGAGUAGCAAUACUUGAUGGCGACCGGCAAACGGGUGAGGAACACGUACACAACCUUCCUUCAAGCGGGGAAUAGCCCAGAGAAAUUUGGAUUAAUACCCCAUAAUAUAUUUGAUAAGGCAUCUUAUUAAUAUUAAAGCUUCGGCACUUGAUGAUGGGUGUGCGGCUGAUUAGAUAGUUAGCGGGUAACGGCCCACCAAGUCUACGAUCAGUAGCUGAUGUGAGAGCAUGAUCAGCCACACGGGCACUGAGACACGGGCCCGACUCCUACGGGAGGCAGCAGUAAGGAAUAUUGGACAAUGGACGAAAGUCUGAUCCAGCCAUGCCGCGUGAAGGAUUAAGGUCCUCUGGAUUGUAAACUUCUUUUAUAUGGGACGAAAAAGGGGCAUUCUUGUUCACUUGACGGUACCAUAUGAAUAAGCACCGGCUAACUCCAUG
rnacentral:rRNA from 1 species